UUUACGAUAUUUGCGCGUAUUAUCUCGCGGCGUGUACACACGAUCCGGGAUUUCAGUACUCGUGUAGGACAAACCCGCGUUCGUUUGCCAAGAGACGGGAGAAGUUCGUUACGUCCCCCUUUUUUCUCUCCGUUUAUCCACGUAGCAGGAAUUAUUCCGGUCAGCGGAGAAAUUAUCUCGUCUCUCUCUCUCUCUUUCUUUUUCUUCGACCAAAGAAAGAGAGGUGUUUGAUCCCCUUCCUGGUCUUUUUCUUCCUCGUCAACCGAGAGUGGAGCAAGAGGGUGGUGGUCGAGAGAGAGAGAGAGGGAGAGAGAGAGGUGAAAAAUAACGUCUUGUUCACCCUCUCUGCUUCAGCCAUCCCUUACGCUGAUUCCUCGCUGUUAUGAGGACGUUACGUCGGGAAUAAUUCGGAGUAUCAAGUAUCCGUGCAAAAAUUCCCAACACUCUCUGAAGAACAGAACGAGAGAUUCCAAGCCGAAAAUAUUCGCAAGAUCCAUUUACCAUUUUUCACUUACUAAGCGUCCUUCAAUAAAUUAAAUUCUCGCUCCAUUAUCAAAGCACUCGACGUAACAACUCCUAUCCGUGCAAAAAAAUAAAAAAAAGAAAGGGAAGAGCAAAAUAAAAUAAAAAGAAACGCGGAGUCUCCAUUCGUCGAAGCGGAGGGAAGUCCGUGCCUUCGACAAUGAGCGGGUCCACUUUAAAACAAAGCAUCCUAUCAGAUAACGGUUUUUCAAUAGGUGGAGAGCGAGAGAGACGCAUGAGGGCUGUCCAGUGCAGACUGAUGCCACGUCGCGAUUAACUUCAAACGAAGCGCGCGCAUCGUCCAGACUUCGUUUCCCGUUCUUUUAUUCCUGAAAAAAAAAAAAAGAAGAAGAACGAGAGAGCCAUUUCCCCUUGUCCUCGUUGCACCCUCUUUUCCCGAUUUACCUCCUUUCGAACCUCCUUUUCUCCCUCUUCCCUGGAUCACGAGAAGAAAAUGGAGAGAAAAUGGUCAACUUUCUCGAAUCUUUGUGAAUCAUUUGUGAUAUCGAGGAAAAGGCGACAAGUGGAUUUAUUUAUUUAUUUAUUUUCUUCUUUCGAAAAGAAGAAAUAAGAAUAAUCAGAAACAGAAACUUCGCAACUCGAUUAAAAAAGGAAUUGACGCGCGUGUCAGAGAUUGAACGCGAUUUGCGAGGCAUUUACAACGUGCAAAUCGAUGAAAGUCCCUUGUCUAGGCGGUAAGACAGGCGUUUUUGCGUGCAAAGGUAACGAGGCGGUGUCAGGAGGAGGAGGAGGAGGAGGAGGAGGAGGCACGCGGCCAGGCAGGGCCAGUUUCUCACAGACCCAUCGGGGACUUUCUCUGUGUAGAAGGAUUUUUCUACCGAGUAUUCGUAUAGGUCGUGGCACGGGGUCAGGAAUGCCCUUAAUAAAGUAAUCACACGCGGGACGAGGAUGCUCGUUGCACGAAGGAAUAAUGCUACUUUCAACUGGAGGUGGGAGUCUCUCGGACCUCCGCUUACGUAUCUGUUAAUUUAUACGCGUCCCAUCCUCCAUUUUAUUCCUCGCUUUUCUCGCUUUUCGCGGGUGGACACGUAGGAGAUGUAACGAUCGGUCAUAAAUUACUUUACAAAUUUUAUUUCUUUUCUUUUAGAAAUCUUUUAUUGUCUUUGAUUAUUUUUCUUCUCGCGUUAAAUUGUAAAUUGUGCGUUAAUUACACGUUGUCGUAAAUGCUGCGCAUUAGAGAGAAAUUUGUUUACCUGGAAUUUUUGAUAAUCAGUAGUGGUUAGUUUUUUUUUAACACUCGACUUGUUUUCAGUUUGGAGGAAUUCCUUUUCCCUUGUUUGGAGGAUUAGAUAAAUUAUAGUGAUAAUAAUUUUAAACCGGUUUCCACAGAUAUGGUGAAAAUGUACAUGGGGGACAUUGGCAAAAUUUGUGAAAAUAAUGAAAAUUACGAUUUUUAAUUACGAAAGUUUGUGCAAGUGAAAGAGGGGAUGGAAAAUCGAUCUCUAAAAAUUUCUAAUAUCUCUUCAUAUUUUUAAAUCUGGUUACUUUCUUUUUUCCCGCAUCAAAGUAAUUUAAAUUUCAAUAAUAAAAAAAAAGAAACGGAUUUCCAUAACUCAUUCUACUCAUGAAUUCGCACGAGUAUCCAUACUUUAUUAACAUAUUUACCAAUUUUGUCACACCGUGAAAUUACUACAAUUAAAAUAAAAAAAAUUCUCCGAACAUCCAACGAGAAGUUCCUCCUCAAUUAGAAACGCGUCGCGUGUGACCACGUUUCACUCGUCCCCAUUGCGUGUGUAAACCACCGUGUUAAUGAAGAUCGCGAACACGACGAGUAUCAAGAAAAAGAAAAAAAGAAGAAGAAGAAGAA